rnacentral:ribozyme from 1 species
AAUUGAUGGAAAGGGGGAAAAGAUAAAAAGAGAGAGAGGAUAGAAUUCAGGGAAGGCGUGAGCAAGAGAUGACCGUCCAUUACAUUUCUUUUUUUUUUUUUGUUUUUUUGACUCUCG